CUCCCUGCCUGCCUGAUAGCACCACCCUUUGUUUCUGCUGCUCCUGGUUUAUUCCAUAUGGCCAUCCUACCACAUGACAGGUGAAGAUAUUCUCCUGGAAUGAACAUUUUUGGAGAAAAAUCUUCCAGCCACGUGUGCAAGAGAUCUGAACAGCUUCAGCAUUUCACUGCAUCUAACCCUUGAGUAUCAGCUUGGGCCCCCUGAAAAUGAGGUACAUG